ensembl:lncRNA
AAAAUUGAUAAAAUGCAUUCUGACUGCAGUUAGGAAUUCCCUCAUCUGUCAGAAUGUACUGAAGUUUACUGUAGUGCUGAGUGAAAUCUGAGACGUGACAUCCGUGUUGGAAUUUCUGCUGUAUGAAGAAUUUACCCUUAGCCCAUGGUCUUUGCCAGACCAUCACAGCCCUGAGGAGAAAUGAAAACCUGAUCCCCCUUUCUUCAUGGAGCUCUGGACACAUUUGAAGAGAAAAUGUCAUUUUGUGCCUGCUGGAGGUGUGAUGGGAUCAGAGACAUCAAUGCUAAACUGCAGUGCUCUCUGCUCAACCCAUCGAGAGAGAGGAAAGAAUUUUCCUCUUAGGUGUCAUCCCCAACGUUUACAGUGUGUCCAAAGGUGUCUCCAGGUUUCUUAUCUGAACCACAGAGGGAGCCUUGGUUCUCCACAGAGAAGAUUCAAAGAAGUUGAAGCACCAGUGUGCUGA